UACGUAGGGACCGAGCGUUGUCCGGAUUCAUUGGGCGUAAAGAGCUCGUAGGCGGCCACUCAAGUCGAAUGUGAAACCUCGAGGCUUAACCUCGAGCCUGCAUUCGAUACUGGGCGGCUAGAGUCUGGUAGGGGGAUCUGGAAUUCCUGGUGUAGCGGUGGAAUGCGCAGAUAUCAGGAGGAACACCAAUAGCGAAGGCAGCUCGCUGGGACGGUACUGACGCUGAGGCGCGAAAGCGUGGGGAGCGAACAGG
rnacentral:rRNA from 1 species